rnacentral:rRNA from 1 species
UACGUAGGGGGCUAGCGUUGUCCGGAUUUAUUGGGCGUAAAGAGCGUGUAGGCGGCCAGGUAGGUCUGCUGUGAAAACUCGAGGCUCAACCUCGAGACGUCGGCGGAAACCAUCUGGCUAGAGUCCGGAAGAGGAGAGUGGAAUUCCUGGUGUAGCGGUGAAAUGCGCAGAUAUCAGGAAGAACACCCGUGGCGAAGGCGGCUCUCUGGGUCCCUACCGACGCUGGGGUGCGAAAGCAUGGGGAGCGAACAGG